AUGAGAGGGAAAGGCGGAAAGAGGGAGAAUUCCAGAGGGAGAAUUCCAAAGAGAGAGAAUUCCAAAGGCAAUCCCAAAAAUCCCUACCUUGGGCUCUACUUUUAUUCCCAGAACCUGAAUGGGCGGAAAAACAAAAUUCCCAUCAGGAAAAAUCCUCAAAUUCCAGCGGGAAAAGCCAAAAUUCCAGCGGGAAAAUCCCCAAAUUCCAGCCGGAAAAUCGAAAUUCCAGCAGGAAAACCCAAAUUCCAGCGGGAAACUCAAAAUUUCCAGCGGGAAAAUCCAAAUUCCAGCUGGAAAAGCCAAAAUUCCAGCGGGAAAAUCCAAAAUUCCCACUGGAAAAUCCAAAUUUCCAGCGGGAAAACCCCCAAAUUCCAACCGGAAACUCCAAAAUUCCAGCUGAAAAUGAAAAUUCCAGCAGGAAAAUCCAAAAUUCCAGGGGGAAACUCCAAAUUUCCAGCAGGAAAAGCCAAAAUUCCAACGGGAAAACCCCAAAUUCCAGUGGGAAAAAUCAAAAUUCCAUUGGGAAAAUUGGGAAAAACUGGAAUUCCGGUGGGGAAAAAACCCCAAAAUCCCACUGGGAAACCGAAAUUCCAGUGGGAAACUGAAAUUCCAUCGGGAAAACUCAAAAUCCCGGUGGGAAAACCGAAAUUCUGGUGGGAAAAAACCCCAAAAUCCCAUUGGAAAAACCAAAAUUCCAUUGGAAAAAACCGAAAUUCCAUUGGAAAAACCGGAAUUCCAUUGGAAAAAACCGAAAUUCCAUUGGGAAAAACCGAAAUUCCAUUGGAAAACCCAAAUCCCGGCAGGAAAAACGAGCUCCAAAAUGCCCCGGGAAAGCUCUGCCCCAAAUUCCGGAGAAAUCCCAGGAAUCCCAGGAAUCCUGGAGGAACCCCAGGGGAAUUCUGGGAAUCCAGGGAAUCCCAGAGCAAUUCCGGGGGAAUCCCGGAGCAAUCCCAGGGGAUUCCCAGGAAUCCCGGGGGAAUCCUGGAGCAAUCCCGGAGCAAUUCUGGGAAUCCCAGGAAAAUCCUGGAGCAAUCCCAGAACAAUCCCGGGAAUCCCAGAGCAAUCCCAGGGGAAUCCUGGAAAUCCCAGAGCAAUCCCAGGAAUCCUGGAGCAAUUCCAGAGCAAUCCCGGAGCAAUCCCGGGCCAAUCCCAGGGAAAUCCCGGAGCCAUCCCGGAGCAAUCCCGGGAAUCCCGGAGCCAUCCCGGAGCCAUCCCGGGCCAAUCCCGGGCCAAUCCCAGGAAUCCCGGGAAUCCCAGAGCCAUCCCGGAGCAAUCCCGGAGCAAUCCCGGAGCCAUGCCGGGCCAAUCCCAGGAAUCCCGGAGCCAUGCCGGAGCCAUCCCGGAGCCAUCCCAGAGCAAUCCCGGGCCAAUCCCAGGAAUCCCGGGAAUCCCAGAGCCAUCCCGGAGCCAUCCCGGAGCAAUCCCGGGCCAAUCCUGGGCCAAUCCCGGGAAUCCCGGAGCAAUCCCGGAGCAAUCCCGGAGCCAUGCCGGGCCAAUCCCAGGAAUCCCGGAGCCAUCCCGGAGCCAUGCUGGGCCAAUCCCAGGAAUCCCGGAGCCGUGCCGGAGCCGUGCCGGGCUCACCUUGGUGUGGCCGAGCUGCAGGAGGUUUUCCAGGAUCGGCGAUUCCAGGCGGGAUCGCAGCAGCUCCGGAGGCGCCGCCUCGGCCACGCGGCCGUAGCAGAGCACGAGGCCGCUCCGCAGCUUCUCCGGCUCCGCCUCGCUCCGAUCCUGCGGAAAAACGGGAUCCGGGAAGGCCGGGAAGGGAAUCCCGAAGAAUUUUCCAGGCGGGAUUUGAGGGGGGGAAAAGCCCGGGAACGGUUGGGUGGGAUUGGAUGGUGCUGGGAAUGCUGGGGAUUUCGGGAUGGGGGGUUCCAGGGAAUUCCAGGGCUUUGA
rnacentral:lncRNA from 13 species